AUCGGUCCUAAGGUAGCGAAAUUCCUUGUCGGGUAAGUUCCGACCUGCACGAAUGGCAUAAUGAUGGCCAGGCUGUCUCCACCCGAGACUCAGUGAAAUUGAAAUCGCCGUGAAGAUGCGGUGUACCCGCGGCUAGACGGAAAGACCCCGUGAACCUUUACUAUAGCUUGACACUGAACAUUGAAUUUUGAUGUGUAGGAUAGGUGGGAGACUUAGAAGUAGUCACGCCAGUGAUUAUGGAGUCGUCCUUGAAAUACCACCCUUUAACGUUUGAUGUUCUAACGAAGAUUACGAAACGUGGUCUCGGACAGUGUCUGGUGGGUAGUUUGACUGGGGCGGUCUCCUCCCAAAGAGUAACGGAGGAGCACGAAGGUUUGCUAAUGACGGUCGGACAUCGUCAGGUUAGUGCAAUGGUAUAAGCAAGCUUAACUGCGAGACAGACAAGUCGAGCAGGUACGAAAGUAGGUCAUAGUGAUCCGGUGGUUCUGAAUGGAAGGGCCAUCGCUCAACGGAUAAAAGGUACUCCGGGGAUAACAGGCUGAUACCGCCCAAGAGUUCAUAUCGACGGCGGUGUUUGGCACCUCGAUGUCGGCUCAUCACAUCCUGGGGCUGAAGUAGGUCCCAAGGGUAUGGCUGUUCGCCAUUUAAAGUGGUACGCGAGCUGGGUUUAGAACGUCGUGAGACAGUUCGGUCCCUAUCUGCCGUGGGCGUUGGAGAAUUGAUUGGGGCUGCUCCUAGUACGAGAGGACCGGAGUGGACGCACCACUGGUGUUCCGGUUGUGUCGCCAGACGCAUUGCCGGGUAGCUAAGUGCGGAAGAGAUAAGUGCUGAAAGCAUCUAAGCACGAAACUUGCCAAGAGAUGAGUUCUCCCUGUUUUUAAGACAGUAAGGGUUGUUUAAGACUAAGACGUAGAUAGGUCUGGUGUGUAAGCGGUGCGAGCCGUUGAGCUAACAGAUACUAAUUGCCCGAGAGGCUUAACUAU
rnacentral:rRNA from 1 species